rnacentral:rRNA from 1 species
GAUGAACGCUAGCUACAGGCUUAACACAUGCAAGUCGAGGGGAAACGAUAUUGGAAGCUUGCUUCCGAUAGGCGUCGACCGGCGCACGGGUGAGUAACGCGUAUCCAACCUGCCCACCACUUGGGGAUAACCUUGCGAAAGUAAGACUAAUACCCAAUGACGUCUCUAGAAGACAUCUGAAAGGGAUUAAAGAUUUAUCGGUGAUGGAUGGGGAUGCGUCUGAUUAGCUUGUUGGCGGGGUAACGGCCCACCAAGGCGACGAUCAGUAGGGGUUCUGAGAGGAAGGUCCCCCACAUUGGAACUGAGACACGGUCCAAACUCCUACGGGAGGCAGCAGUGAGGAAUAUUGGUCAAUGGGCGAGAGCCUGAACCAGCCAAGUAGCGUGCAGGAUGACGGCCCUAUGGGUUGUAAACUGCUUUUAUAAGGGAAUAAAGUGAACCUCGUGAGGCUUUUUGCAUGUACCUUAUGAAUAAGGACCGGCUAAUUCCGUG